GACGAACGCUGGCGGCGUGCUUAACACAUGCAAGUCGAACGGUAAGGCCCUUCGGGGUACACGAGUGGCGAACGGGUGAGUAACACGUGGGUGAUCUGCCUGCACUUCGGGAUAAGCCUGGGAAACUGGGUCUAAUACCGGAUAGGACCCUGGGAUGCAUGUCCUGGGGUGGAAAGCUUUUGCGGUGUGGGAUGGGCCCGCGGCCUAUCAGCUUGUUGGUGGGGUGAUGGCCUACCAAGGCGACGACGGGUAGCCGGCCUGCGAGGGUGACCGGCCACACUGGGAGUGAGAUACGGCACAGGAUACUACGGGAGGCAGCAGUGGGGAAUAUUGCACGAUGGGCGCAAGCCUGAUGCAGCGACGCCGCGUGAGGGAUGACGGCCUUCGGGUUGUAAACCUCUUUCAGCACCGACGAAGCGCAAGUGACGGUAGGUGCAGAAGAAGGACCGGCCAACUACGUGCCAGCCGCCGCGGUAA
rnacentral:rRNA from 1 species